UUUAGGCUCAUCCAAAGAUGCAGUUCCAGAUCUCAUUCCUCCAGGAACCAAUAAAUACUAUGCUUCUGCAUCCAACCCUGUUUAUAUGAAAGAACUGAAUAUUGAUCUAACAGAAGACUCAAUGAGUCGGAAUUCUAUUGAUGAUAACGAAGUUGGUGACAAGAAGGCCGCUGACUCUUCAAAGCCGGAAGAACAAGAAAUUGCUAUCACACUAUAUGAAGAAAACACAUAUAGUUUUAAAGAUGCCAAUCGUAGUUCAGCUUUAGAUUUAGUUUUACAACAAUAUGAAGAAUCUACAAAAGCUAAGAAGGGUGCUAAUUCUCUAAAUUCAAUAUCCGCCAGUGAUUUUUCCAAUAUUGA